rnacentral:rRNA from 1 species
GAAGGUGGCAAGCGUUGUUCGGAUUCACUGGGCGUACAGGGAGCGUAGGCGGUUGGGUAAGCCCUCCGUGAAACCUCCGGGCCUAACCCGGAAAGUGCAGAGGGGACUGCUCGGCUUGAGGACGGGAGAGGAGCGCGGAAUUCCCGGUGUAGCGGUGAAAUGCGUAGAGAUCGGGAGGAAGGCCGGUGGCGAAGGCGGCGCUCUGGAACGUUUCUGACGCUGAGGCUCGAAAGCGUGGGGAGCAAACAGGAUUAGAUACCCUGGGUAGUCCACGCCUUAAACUAUGGAUACUAAGUGUCGGCGGGUUACCCGCCCGGUGCCCGCAGCUAACGCAGUAAGUAUCCCGCCUGGGAAGUACGGCCGCAAGGUUG